UUCUCUCUGAUUCUUUGCCUACUUAUGUUCUAAUCCCUGGAACCAUUUUCCCGCAACAAAACAAGCUGAUAUGACUUCAUCAGUGCGAUAUCAAACAAGAAGACCGUGAAAUACUAAAUACUUAAUGAGUUCUUUACCUCUUGAUUUCUAGUAUUCUGACUUUGUUUCUUUAGGGUUUUGACUGUAGUAGUUGAUCAUGUGAUGACCUUCAUGCAGACUUACAAACAUCCAACAUUUCUGACUUGUAUUUAAGUUAUAAUUUAAUGGAGAGACUGGUCUCAUUAAUCCAAAAGUGUCUGUUUUUUCACUUUUAAUUAUCUUGCUUUGGAGAGCAGAAGCCCAAUCCAAAGAUUAAAUUUAAUAAAAAUUGUUGUUUCACUUUGACUGACAUUUGUUGUUGUUCUCAUUAUUGCUCUUCAUGCUCGGCUGUAAAGUUUAAUGAAUUGUAAGAAGUCUUAGAAUGGCGUGAUUCUUGUGAUGUCUCAGUUUUAGUUCUGAAGUGGAGAUUUAUUGGUGUGGAACUAAAAAGGUAAAAUACAAUUAAGAAAUUUGAACGUGUGUGCUUGUUAAAUGUUGACAGUAUUCAGGUUCAUGUGUUGUCUUCCUGAUUUCAAUCCCAUUUACAUCUCACGUACGCUUCUUUUUAUUUUAGGUGAAAUGACAUCAGUUUGAAUGUGUCUCCGUCUGCUUCUAUUAUCAGCAUCUCCUACUCGUGCUGAUGACUGCCUUACUGCCAUCACUGGGGAGGCAGUUGACAUUCCCCGCUCUUUGAUCACUUCUUAAAGAAAGAGGACAUUUCAUUUGAAUGGGCAAUAUCUGAAGGUCUCGUCGUUCAUACAUGUAUCAAUGGAGAGGACCAUCUGGAAAAUCGGGACCCCCAGCUCCAUAUCGGGACUGCCACAUGGCGACUUCUCCCCGACGCGGUCUAAUGUGUUAGUCAGUGAUGAGCUGGAGUUUGUACGUCGUUACGGCAGAGCCGAGGGGCGCAGCUGACGUCUGUCUGAGAGCUGUCUUCAGAUCGCAGCAUCACGAGAAGUCGAUAAAGACCAUCAACUGGCACGACUGGAGACGUCAAGUAAUGGACCCUGUGAAAGUAAUGGGAACGUCAAAGUAUCCUCGUGAAGCUGUUGGUGCCACUGCUCUACGGCCAUGGAACUGUUAUCUCAGAUAAAGGAGCUCUGGAAUCAUCCGAAUAAGGUUAAAAAAGGUCCUGCCCUCUGAUUGGCCGGCCUAGCACUGACUCGGCUGUGAAAUGGCCAAGGACUUCUGAGGUGGCCCUGAUGGAUUCCUCAUCUAGCUUUUGGUGUGAUGUUUGUACGUCUGUAUCUCCAUUAUAUUUUGCUCAAGCCAACCAGGAUGAACUCCAAUACAGGACACCUGCAUGGGCAGUUUUAACAUAAAGCAUCGUGUUUUCCUGAAUUGUCUAGUAAUCAAAUCACAGUAACAUCUGUUGCACCAGGACUAGAUUGGUUUAUGGGGAGAGAAGACAUGCCGAUGCUUCAGGCUGUAUCCGAUUACUUUAUGACCUGCGAACAGAAGGAAAUGCCACCGGACCAGUUCACAGCGUGAGACAGGAAGGUUCUUAAAACAUCAAAAACUUUAUUUGAAAAACGGAGAUACUGAAACAGAUUAAAUCAUAUUGAGAGCCAGACAAUCAGGUGGGCUGUGAAACUUCUAAGGACUUUGAAAAUAAAAAUGACAGACUAAAGAAGAGAAAGCAGUGACGUCUGAAGAGGGCACCAGCGGCGAUUGACCGUUUUCAGCUGACCAUCAGCAAAAGCAUUCCAUGCAUAUUGAUUGCUAAAUCAACGCCACCCUGGGACAUUCGUCUUUGACAUCUUUACUUUUUUUAAGCUUUUUCUAAAGACGACGUACAGUAUAUCAAGACUUUGAUCUUAUUGUCUGUUAUUCCUUGUUCUGUUUGGUAUUAUUAUUUGUCUAAUAAAUUCCACGUUGCUUUUAACUUUC